rnacentral:rRNA from 1 species
AAUCAACGCUGGCGGCGUGCCUCAGACAUGCAAGUCGAACGCGAAAGUUUCCUUCGGGGAACAAGUAGAGUGGCGCACGGGUGAGUAACACGUAGGUAAUCUACCUUUGGAUGGGGAAUAACAAUCGGAAACGGUUGCUAAUACCGCAUAAUGCAGCGGCACCUAAUGGUGACAGUUGUUAAAGCGGGGGAGUCGAAGACCUCGCGUCUGAAGAGGAGCCUGCGGCGGAUUAGUC